GCAGCAACGCCGUUUGUUGCUGGCGCAUCCGCAGGUGCGGAUGAGUUAACUGAUAGAAGGAUGAUAUCGAUG
rfam:Pantoea sp. At-9b, complete genome.